CAGCAGCCGCGGUAACACGAAGGGGGCUAGCGUUGUUCGGAUUAACUGGGCGUAAAGGGUGCGUAGGCGGGUUUUUAAGUCAGAGGUGAAAUCCCAAGGCUCAACCUUGGAACUGCCUUUGAUACUGGAAAUCUUGAGUCCGGGAGAGGUGAGUGGAACUGCGAGUGUAGAGGUGAAAUUCGUUGAUAUUCGCAAGAACACCAGUGGCGAAGGCGGCUCACUGGCCCGGAACUGACGCUGAGGCACGAAAGCGUGGGGAGCAAACAGGAUUAGAUACCCCGGUAGUCCCUGUCUCUUAUAA
rnacentral:rRNA from 1 species